AGGACGAACGCUGGCGGCGUGCUUAACACAUGCAAGUCGAGCGGAAAGGCCUUUCGGGGUACUCGAGCGGCGAACGGGUGAGUAACACGUGAGUAAUCUGCCCAUCGCUUCAGGAUAGCCAUCGGAAACGGUGAUUAAUACUGGAUAUGACAUUCCUUCGCAUGUUGGGGUGUGGAAAGUUUUUUCGGCGGUGGAUGUGCUCGCGGCCUAUCAGCUUGUUGGUGGGGUAAUGGCCUACCAAGGCUUUGACGGGUAGCCGGCCUGAGAGGGUGACCGGCCACGACUGGGACUGGAGACACGGCCCAGACUCCUACGGGAGGCAGCAGUGGGGAAUAUUGGACAAUGGGCGAAGCCUGAUCCAGCAACGCCGCGUGAGGAUGACGGCCUUCGGGUUGUAAACCGUCUUUCAGCACAGACGAAGUUUGCUUUUUUGGUGUAAGUGACGGUAUGUGCGAGAAGAAGGACCGGACCAACGUACGUGCCAGCAGCCGC
rnacentral:rRNA from 1 species